rnacentral:misc_RNA from 1 species
AUUCAAUGUAUCCGGGAAGUGCUGCACAGAAUGGAUUCCUCAGACGCAGGACCUGAUAAAAGACCAGCUAUUCAUAUUGGAAUUCUUACAGUGAGUGACAGAUGCUUCAGAAAUGAGGCCAUUGAUGAGAGCAGUAAAAACCUGUAUACAUUGAUUCAGGACAAACGCAUGCCACUAAGGCUGUCCUUGAGAAGGAAGCCCUUGGAAUGACCUUGGCCAUGCUUAAACAAUCCUUGGAGGUCACACCUCUGGCCAUGUUAUCAAGGUUGGUGUGUGGGAUACGUGGACGUACCCUCAUCAUCAACUUACCCGGCAGUGUCAAGGCCUCUGAGGAGUGUUUGAGAUUUGUCUGUCCAGGAAUCCCGCAUGCUAUUGAUCUUUUGAAAGACAAGACGGAGGAAAUUCAGACUACCCAUUCAUCCUUGCAGUCGAGAGGCGUGGAAAUACCUACCUCAGUGCAGGAGAAAGGCAAAACAAUUGGUAUUUGUCGGCGAGAGGUGGAAAAAUACUUGGAUAGCCACGUCCUCCAUAAAAUUCGGAAAACGCCAUUUUACCGAAACCGCCCCAAAAGAAAACUUCAUUACUCUCCCAGGUCCAAGACAAUCUCGGUUAUCCGGCUGGACAGAGAGGACACAUUGACCACGGAGCUAUCCAAUCAGCGCGACUCGUACGCCCCCGCUGAAGACUUAAGCCGUAAUGUUUUUGCUAUGGAGACGGCGACUACCGAGGGUUCUGCGACGGAAGAGAAAGACCAAAACCGAGUAAAACAGGACCAACAACCGGAAACAAAUAACCCGCAAAUUACUCUGCCCGAGCGCCCCCUUUCAUCUUUUGGUUCUUUGAAAAGUUUAGAUUUAUCUGGAAGUCUUCUGGAUUUGACAAAUGACGAGUUUCUUACCGCUGGACCCCCAAGUGUUCAAAGCAUACGUGUAGAAAGUCCGACAGCCAGUUUAGUUAACGGGAAAACCGGAAAUCGGGACGCUAGCAUCACCAUGUUAGAGAGGCCAGUUCCACCCUCGUUUGCUCUACCAAAGAAUGCAGCCUCAGAAGAUCCCGGAAAUGUAGCCCAAAGAAUUAUGGGUAAAGACAUAUCAUCGUGCUUUGAACCCAUAGAGAAGCUUCAUAUGAAUUUUGAAUCUGAUUCUGAUGAAGACAUAGAUAUCUCGUCUACAAAAGAUCAUUCUGAUGGGGAGUCGACGAUUCCAUAUGCAGAAGACAGCGAUGUCGACGUCACAUUCGAUGACAAUGAUACUCCGUCGAGCAACGCGAACGAUGAUAAUGUGUACGAUUUUGACAAGGAGGCCAAGUUGAUGAGUCCACCAGCAGGCAAGAAGGUCAAAAAAAGUUUCGCUCAGGCACGAAGAAUCCGCAAGCGUUUGGACGAAAGGUGCGGGUUUCUUGGCGCCAAACUGCACAAAACGUCAAUGUUUGGUGAAGUCAACUUUGUUGAAGUGGGAUUGAAAGUUCACGAUUUCUUAAAAGAUCAUCCAUUGAUACAGGGCAUCUAUCUGAACAAAGGUAAAAGGGCCAUUAAGAAAAACUAUGUCACAUUGUGCCGUCAAAAAUCCGUAAAAGACAGUGGGAGGUUGACAUGGAAACGAGGCACACAGGACCAGGGGCGGAACCGCGUUGACGACUACUUUGAGUACACGGAGGAAGGUCGGGCACGGAAAUCCAUGAUAGACCGGAAGUUUGUGCGUGAUGAGUAUGUCGUAAGCUGGUACAUGUGGUGUCCAGGGCACGGCAACUGUAUACGGAAGUGUGGAGGGCGUGGCAAGUGUAUCUCAGGAUGCCAAGGCAUGGAGCACAAACAGGACCGACACAAUUGUAAGGUAAUGCUGAUAUUUAAGCUCUACCUCAGUGACCUCACUAAAUGGCGAGUACAGAUCACGGGGCUCCACGUUCCCAAGGGAACGGUAUGGCACCCGCCCAAUUCAGAUGAGAAGUCGCUCAAUGCAGAUCUAGGGGCAGAGGAACACAAGGAAUCCAGACAAAUCAGACCCCAGAACCGUACCGACAUUAACCAACCGGCUCAACAGGCGGAAAAUGAGCUCAUUCAUCAUCCAUCUUAUUUGUGUAUCGCAAGUAAUGAUCCGAAAACGGAAGUUAAUGUAGUUGAUAUAAGCUUACAGACGGCCAAUGCUGUCACCUCCGAUUCUUUAAGCGGGAACAGAACCAAUGACGAUUCAUUGGCAGGCUUUCCGGAAAGCUCUACUCCAAGUUUAAUUUUUUCGCCAAGCUUGCUACCCGAGCCACUUACUGACGCCGAAGCAGCGAACCUGAAGAUAAUUGAGUGGAUAUCGGAGUCAACUGGAAGUGAUGCAGCAAUCCCAAGAUUGCCGACCUUUGAUCUGUGAUGAGUUGAUAUUAUUGAAACCGAUGCUAGUCUUUCUUAUAUUAAGUGCCAUUAUUCUUAGCUCUUAUAUAUUUUUAUUUGUAUUUUAACAGCUUAAUGCAUGUCGCAUGUCUGUGUGUUUGAAAACUGUAAUGUUGAUGUGUGCGAGUGUGGUUAACUUAUUUUGCAUCAUAUGCAUCUCGAUUAUCUUAGAACAUGCAAUGUUUUUUUUGGUUAGUUUGGAGUAGUUAAAGACAGAACACAUUGUAAGGUUAUAUUGCCUGCCUAAUAUUACCUACAUCUGAUGAUUUUAUUGCCGUGCCUUCAUGGAUAAUACAAGCCUCACGGGUCAUAAACACCUUGUGCAUAUUACAAAAUGAGGACGAAAAACAGGUUAGCGGCAGUGACUUUUAUCAUCGCAUCUACCGUAGGCAGUUUGUAAAACGUAGGCAGGUUAUAUUCUUAUCACAUGGUUCUGUGUUCAAAUUUUAUUAAAAGGAAAUAUAGGAUUUCAAUUGCUUAUACCAGAUAUCCCAUGUUAAUGCUGGUUAAAAGUAGUUGUACUUUUAUAGAGAACAUUUUCAGGUAUAUUGCAUGUUACUCGAUCGUUUCCAAUGUUUGGGGUGAAACUUAAGGAGAACUUUAAGGUUGAAAGUCCAAAUGAUAGUACUGAGAGUUUUCUGACUUGUAUAACAAACUUCACUGUGUUAGUCUGACCAAAAACCAGCCAAGGACUCUUAUUCGUCAAUUGUCAGCCCAGAUUGAAAAUUCUAAAUUGUCAUUUAGAAAAAGACACCAACCUACCUCUCUUAUGUGGUAUUUAUUUUGAUAAAUAAAUUCCCGGUUUAUACUUAGAACUUCUUGUACCUUACUAGCCUGGUGAAAAUCAUUUCAACAAGAAGAGAGAUAGUUUCCUGUGUUGUACGUGUUUAAUAUUUUUUAUUUUUAGUUAUGUUUACAUGUUUACACGUGUCUGUCUCCUUUACAAUGAUGUAGCAAUGAUCGUUAAUGACUGAUGACAGUGACUCUGCAUUAGACUCAGUGAACGCACUAGCUUGCAGUCCCGGUGGCGUCUUACUGGGUUGAGCUCGCCGUUCGUAAUCUAUAUACACCUCUGUGCCAUAAUUUAUACACCAUCAAUUUAUUAUGAUUAAUGUGAUAUAAUUUGUACGUUUUCCGGUGAAUAAAUCGCAUCUGAUUCUU